CACGUAGGGGGCAAGCGUUGUCCGGAAUCAUUGGGCGUAAAGAGCUCGUAGGCGGCUCAGUAAGUCGGGUGUGAAACCUCCAGGCUCAACCUGGAGACGCCACCCGAUACUGCUGUGGCUAGAGUCCAGUAGGGGAGUGUGGAAUUCCCGGUGUAGCGGUGAAAUGCGCAGAUAUCGGGAGGAACACCAACGGCGAAGGCGGCACUCUGGGCUGGUACUGACGCUGAGGAGCGAAAGCGUGGGUAGCAAACAGG
rnacentral:rRNA from 1 species